rnacentral:rRNA from 1 species
UACAGAGGGUGCAAACGUUGCUCGGAAUUAUUGGGCGUAAAGCGCAUGUAGGCGGCACGGUAAGUCGACUGUGAAAGCCCUUGGCUCAACCAAGGAAGUGCAGUCGAAACUGCCGAGCUCGAGUUCUGAAGAGGGUCGCGGAAUGGCCAGUGUAGAGGUGAAAUUCGUAGAUAUUGGCUAGAACACCAGUGGCGAAGGCGGCGACCUGGGAAGAUACUGACGCUGAGAUGCGAAAGCGUGGGGAGCAAACAGGAUUAGAAACCCCCGUAGUCC